UAUAAUGGGAAUUUACAGAGCAGAACCAGUGAGAUGAAGAACAACAAGCAAACACUCAAUCCCACACACACACCAACGGCCAGAUGAGAAGAUGAAGCUGUUGAGACUGAAGAACAUGACAAACACACAGAUCUGUCCGAGUAGAAACCCUCAUGUGACUUUGAGACAGUAGUGAUGCUCAUCUCUCCUGUCGUCUGAUUCUGGAUCAGUGAUCCGUCUUUAUAGAAA